rnacentral:miRNA from 1 species
AUCGGUAUCCGGACCCUCUGGU